UACGUAGGGUGCAAGCGUUGUCCGGAAUUAUUGGGCGUAAAGAGCUCGUAGGCGGUUUGUCGCGUCUGCUGUGAAAUCCCGAGGCUCAACCUCGGGCUUGCAGUGGGUACGGGCAGACUAGAGUGCGGUAGGGGAGACUGGAAUUCCUGGUGUAGCGGUGGAAUGCGCAGAUAUCAGGAGGAACACCGAUGGCGAAGGCAGGUCUCUGGGCCGC
rnacentral:rRNA from 1 species